AUUACUGGAGACCUGGUCUUGUAGGAGGAGUAAAUAUGGUCGGAGGGUCACAGGAGGAAGGAGUGGAGGUACUGAAGAGCAAACAAGGAAAUAAUUUUUUAAAAUACUGUGUGAAAGAGGUACUCUGGAGGCAGCAGGGAUAUUGCAACCUAAUUUUACUCAUCUCUAGAAUGAAUGAGUAUGAAGAAUAAGGGGGGGAAGUUCUCGUGCAAGUUGGAAAUUUUUAAAGGGUUUCCCCAAUGAAAAAGGUGAAAUUAAUUUUUAAAGUCAGUGAUUUG
rnacentral:lncRNA from 1 species